UCCUGGGAAUGUUGAUAAAAUUAUUCCCAAUCGAAUUCUUCAACGGACUCUACUACUCUGGAUCAGAGGAAGGAACAUUUCAUCCUGACGAUAGGCACUCCCACUUACAGGUGGCGUCACACCUAGGCAUCGCUCGUCCCUCAACCGACAGUGCAGGCGGAUCGGUCGCUCUGACUUGGCACUUGGGCAGGUAGCGUUUUCCUGGUAUCCACCAA